CGUCCCCUGCGGUGUUUGUUAAGGCCAUAUAUUCCUUGGACCAAUGCUAAUUGGCAUCGGUUGCGGACCAUCGAAACCGCUGUUGUGCGCUCGCUUCGUCGCGAGUGCCUGAAGCGGGAGGAAAGCAGCCACUCUGGACCCAGGUUCAGGAUGCCGGCCUGACGGCACUUGCGGGGGCCUU
rnacentral:other from 1 species